rnacentral:tRNA from 1 species
GGGGCUAGCGCAUGGGAGAGGCGCAUCAUUUAUUUUAAAUGAAGGGAGUGGGUUCGAUUCCCACAGCUCCA